GCACAAGCGGAGGAGCAUGUGGUUAAUUCGAUGAUACGCGAGGAACCUUACCUGGGCUCGAACGUAAGAUGACUGUAGGUGAAAGCUUACAUCUCUUCGGAGCAUUUUACGAGGUGCUGCAUGGUUGUCGUCAGCUCGUGCCGUGAGGUGUCGGGUUAAGUCCCAUAACGAGCGCAACCCCUACCUUAGUUGCCAUCAGGUUAAGCUGGGGACUCUAAAGGAACUGCCUACGCAAGUAGUGAGGAAGGCGGGGAUGACGUCAAAUCAGCACGGCCCUUACGUCCAGGGCUACACACGUGCUACAAUGGCCGAUACAGAGGGCAGCUACCUGGUGACAGGAUGCAAAUCUCCAAAGUCGGUCUCAGUUCGGAUCGGAGUCUGCAACCCGACUCCGUGAAGUUGGAUUCGCUAGUAAUCGCGCAUCAGCCAUGGCGCGGUGAAUACGUUCCCGGGCCUU
rnacentral:rRNA from 1 species